GAUGAACGCUGGCGGCGUGCUUAACACAUGCAAGUCGAACGGAAAGGCCAGUGCUUGCACUGGUACUCGAGUGGCGAACGGGUGAGUAACACGUGGGUGAUCUGCCCUGCACUUCGGGAUAAGCCUGGGAAACUGGGUCUAAUACCGGAUAGGACAAUGGUUUGGAUGCCGUUGUGGAAAGUUUUUUCGGUGUGGGAUGAGCUCGCGGCCUAUCAGCUUGUUGGUGGGGUAAUGGCCUACCAAGGCGUCGACGGGUAGCCGGCCUGAGAGGGUGUACGGCCACAUUGGGACUGAGAUACGGCCCAGACUCCUACGGGAGGCAGCAGUGGGGAAUAUUGCACAAUGGGCGCAAGCCUGAUGCAGCGACGCCGCGUGGGGGAUGACGGCCUUCGGAUUGUAAACUCCUUUCGCUAGGGACGAAGCGUAUUUGUGACGGUACCUGGAGAAGAAGCACCGGCUAACUACGUG
rnacentral:rRNA from 1 species